ACAGAGGCCUCGAGCGUUAGGCGGAAUCACUGGGCUUAAAGCGUGUGUAGGUGGAUGCCUAAGUACCUUGUGAAAUCCCACGGCUUAACCGUGGAACUGCUGGGUAUACUGGGCGUCUUGAGCCACUCAGGGGCUACCGGAACAAACGGUGGAGCGGUGAAAUGCGUAGAUAUCGUUUGGAACGCCAAUGGUGAAAACAGGUAGCUGGGGGUGUGCUGACACUGAGACACGAAAGCCAGGGGAGCAAACGGGA
rnacentral:rRNA from 1 species